CACAAGGGGUGAAGCCUGCGGUUCAAUUGGAGUCAACGCCAGAAAUCUUACCCGGAGAGACAGCAGAAUGAAGGUCAAGCUGAAGACUUUACCAGACAAGCUGAGAGGUGGUGCAUGGCCGUCGUCAGCUCGUGCCGUGAGAUGUCCUGUUAAGUCAGGUAACGAGCGAGGUCCCUGCCCUUAGUUGCCACUAUUACUCUCAGGAGUAGUAGGGCGAAUUAAGGGGACCGCCGCAGUUAAUGCGGAGGAAGGAAGGGGCCACGGCAGGUCAGUAUGCCCCGAAACUCUGGGGCCACACGCGGGCUGCAAUGGUAACGACAAUGAGUUUCAAAAUCGAAAGAUAGAGGUAAUCUCUAAACGUUACCACAGUUAUGAUUGAGGGCUGCAACUCGCCCUCAUGAAUAUGGAAUCCCUAGUAACCGCGUGUCAUUAUCGCGCAGUGAAUACGUCCCUGCUCCUUGCACACACCGCCCGUCGUUUCAUUGAAGUUUGCCUUUAGCGAGGUGAUGUCUAAUUGGCAUUAUCGAACUUGGGGUAAGUGACAAGGGAAAAGUCGUAACAAGGUGACCGUAGGGGAACCUGCGGUCGGAUCACCUCCUU
rnacentral:rRNA from 1 species